ACGAAGGGUGCAAGCGUUAAUCGGAAUUACUGGGCGUAAAGCGCGCGUAGGUGGUUUGGUAAGAUGGAUGUGAAAUCCCCGGGCUCAACCUGGGAACUGCAUCCAUAACUGCCUGACUAGAGUACGGUAGAGGGUGGUGGAAUCUCCUGUGUAGCGGUGAAAUGCGUAGAGAUGUGGAGGAACACCAGUGGCGAAGGCGACUUUCUGGUCUGUAACUGACGCUGAGGCGCGAAAGCGUGGGGAGCAAACAGGA
rnacentral:rRNA from 1 species